rnacentral:piRNA from 1 species
AGCACAGGGAGGCUCGGACCCACAGCUGUA